rnacentral:rRNA from 1 species
GGGGGCUACAAAGGGCAUACGGUGAAUGCCUUGGCACUAGCAAGCGAUGAAGGACGUGGCAAGCUGCGAUAAGCUUCGGUGAGCUGCUGGCAAGCUCUGACCCGGAGAUUUCCGAAUGGGGAAACCCGUCAUGAAGAAAUUCAUGUCACUAUGCACUGAAUUCAUAGGUGUAUAGAGCUAACCUGGGGAAGUGAAACAUCUCAGUACCCAGAGGAACAGAAAUCAAAAGAGAUUCCCCUAGUAGCGGCGAGCGAACGGGGAAUAGGCCAAACCAGUUGUACAUGUACGACUGGGGUUGUGGGGCGGCCAAUAUGGAUCAAGAAAAUUAGUGGAACGUUCUGGAAAGUUCGAGCAUAGAGGGUGAUACUCCCGUACACGAAAAUGGAAUUGACCUAGGCCUGUCCCCGAGUACCACAGGACACGUGAAAUCCGGUGGGAAUCUGGGUGGACCAUCAUCCAAGCCUAAAUAUUGUUAGUGACCGAUAGCGUAUAGUACCGUGAGGGAAAGGUGAAAAGUACCCCGAUGAGGGGAGUGAAAGAGUACCUGAAACCGUAUGUCUACAAUCGGUGGAAGAGCUAUGCACAUUAGUGAAUGCUCGACCGCGUACCUUUUGCAUCAUGGGUUGGCGAGUCAACGUUUGCAGCGAGAUUAAGCCGAGAAAGGUGUAGUCGAAGCGAAAGCGAGUCUGAAUAGGGCGUAUAGUUGCAGGCGUUGGACCCGAAGCCGGUCGAUCUACGCAUGGCCAGGUUGAAGCGUGGGUAAUGCCACGUGGAGGACCGAACCCAUUCGAGUUGAAAAUCGUUGGGAUGAGCUGUGCGUAGGGGUGAAAGGCCAAUCAAGAUCGGUGAUAGCUGGUUCUCUCCGAAAGAUAUUUAGGUAUCGCCUCGAAUGUUUAGUGCCGGAGGUAGAGCACUGAAAGGGCUAGGGCGCCCACCAGCGUACCAACCCCUAUCAAACUCCGAAUGCCGGUAACUAUAGUUCGGGAGACAGGCUGCGGGUGAUAAGGUCCGUAGCCAAGAGGGAAACAGCCCAGACCAUCAGCUAAGGUCCCCAAGUUUUAACUAAGUGGAGAAGGAUGUGGAAGCGCAUAGACAACCAGGAGGUUGGCUUAGAAGCAGCAAUCCUUUAAAGAAAGCGUAAUAGCUCACUGGUCAAGUGAAUCUGCGCCGAAAAUGUAACGGGGCUUAAGUUAAACACCGAAGCUAUGGGUUCGUAAUUUAUUACGAGCGGUAGGAGAGCACUGUAGCGCCACUGAAGGUGUACCGAAAGGAAUGCUGGAGGUUCUACAGGAGAUUAUGCCAACAUGAGUAGCGAUAAAACAGGUGAGAAACCUGUUCGCCGAAAACCCAAGGGUUCCUGGGGCAGGAUAAUCCGCCCAGGGUUAGUCGGGUCCUAAGGCGAGGCCGACAGGCGUAGCCGAUGGAAAACAGGUUAAUAUUCCUGUACCAACUUAUUGCGGAUGAAACGAGGAGGGACGGAGAAGGGUAUAGAUACCAGCCUGGUUAUGGAUAUACCAGGUCGAAGCGUGUAGGUGGAUUUCCUAGGAUAAAAACGGGAAGUCUUAACACCAAGGCGUGAUGCGGCAUCAAAUCUUCGGAUGCGAUGUUAGUGGUUGAUCCCAUGCUUCCAAGAAAAGCUUCGCGUUGACAAUAUAGGUUGCUCGUACCCCAAACCGACACGGGUGGGUAGGGUGAGUAUCCCAAGGCGCUUGAGAGAACCGUGGUUAAGGAACUCUGCAAAAUGAUGCCGUAACUUCGGGAGAAGGCAUGCCUUCUAUGGUGAUGGGACUUGCUCCCUGAGCUUAAGGAGGCCGCAGCGAAAUGGGGCUGGCGACUGUUUACCAAAAACACAGGUCUCUGCUAACUCGAAAGAGGAUGUAUAGGGACUGACGCCUGCCCGGUGCCGGAAGGUUAAGGGGAGAUGUAAGGAGUAAUCCGAAGCUUCGAACCGAAGCCCCGGUAAACGGCGGCCGUAACAAUAACGGUCCUAAGGUAGCGAAAUUCCUUGGCGGGUAAGUUCCGUCCUGCACGAAUGGCGUAACGACUUCCCCACUGUCUCAACCACGGACUCAGCGAAAUUGAAUUCGCGGCGCAGAUGCCGUGUACCCGCAGCUAGACGGAAAGACCCCGUGAACCUUUACUGUAACUUGGCAGUGAUAUUCGGAUUGGUUUGUGUAGGAUAGGUGGGAGACUGUGAGACUUGGCCGCUAGGCUAAGAGGAGUCAACCUUGAAAUACCACCCUGAUCAUUUUGGAUAUCUAACCUAGACCCGUUAUCCGGGUCGGGGACCCUGCCUGGUGGGCAGUUUGACUGGGGCGGUCGCCUCCCAAACAGUAACGGAGGCGCNCGANGGUUCNCUCAGCCNGAUUGGAAACCNGGCGUCGAGUGCAAUGGCAAAAGNGAGCUUNACUGCGAGACCGACNGGUCGAGCAGNUGCGAAAGCAGGUCAUAGUGAUCCGGUGGUUCCAUAUGGAAGGGCCAUCGCUCAACGGAUAAAAGGUACUCCGGGAUAACAGGCUGAUCUCCCCCAAGAGUUCAUAUCGACGGGGAGGUUUGGCACCUCGAUGUCGGCUCGUCACAUCCUGGGGCUGAAGUCGGUCCCAAGGGUUUGGCUGUUCGCCAA